UUUAAAAGAUAUUCCAACUGAAAUCACUAUUGAAUAUAUUGAUGGAACUGAGGAGGAUGUAUUGCUUACAAACUUGAAAGAUAUUCCCAAACUUUCAGAACUUGUAAAGCCAGGCAAUACACAAAAAAUUACAGUAAAUGUUACUCUCCCACAACCAAUAGAGGAUGUUUCUGGCCUUUUGGAAGAGGAACCAGCAGCCUUGUUCGUAGUCUUUAGCGAACCAAACUCAUAUACUCAAACUGAAGUUACAGUGGAUAUCGUUGUGAUUGAUGAAAACAACGACGUCACCAUUAAGCCCCUGGAGGAGAUAGAGCGACUUACCGAUAACGACCAGACAUAUGAACGCUCAUGGUCUCUAGACAAGUUGGACAAGACUCUAGGAUUUAUUUUCACCUUUAAACCGGUUCAAGUACCUGGAACGACAACAACCCCCAGCGAACCAUCUGAAACUAUUGGAGAAUUCCUCGUUGAUAUUUGCACAAAAACGACGCCGUCAUCUACCACCGAAACAUCGACAACAACAACAACGACGACGACGACGACUGG